GUGAAUUGCUACCAGGAGCCAGUUUUCCUUUAAAACAUGAGAUGGAUCAGAGAACAAAGAUGCUUUCUGUUGCCAUUGAGGGUGUGAACUCAGUCAUUCAAGAUCAUCUGGUAGAAGUUUAAGGGUUUCUUUUCUGUAUGUGCAACGUAUAUUCAAAUUCCUGUGUAUGAAUGAGGCUCAAGCAUGUCACCAUGGAGG